GAGUGUUUCUACCGACAUGGUAGUUCCUUCUUCUUCUUCACCAUCUUCUACCUCCUUGCUCUUUCCUGUGUGUUUCGGAUAUGCUAAUCUCAAAUUUUCAGUCUAACCCUCUCCAUCCUCUCAUUUCUCGGUUGUAUCGACACUUACUCUCACCUGGUUUCCUUUGCAUGUCACCAUCAACCCCACCUUUUUGCUAAAUUCUCUCGACUUUCACUUGUGUUGUUUCUCUGGUUGUUUCCUCUCUUCUUGUCUUUGCAUGGCUGGUAUUCUUUGUCACUGGGUCUCCUGUUGAGCCCUUCUAUUACUGUUAGCUUUUCGUCCUCUUGCAAUGGACCAUCCAAUUGCCGCAGAUGAUGCUCGUCUGGCAGCUUUAUGUAGUUGCAUGGGUCGCCUUUGGUCCGAAGAGUCAAUUGAGAUAUGUGAUGAGGAGGUACCUCCUGAAAAAAUUGCGGAAUGUCAGCUCACUCUGGUGGGUAAGCUUCUCAACAAUCCCACAAUAAAUUUUCCGGCUUUUCAGACGACAAUGAAAAAGGCUUGGCGCACUGACUUAGUGGAAUUCUCACAAGGUGAUACGGGAUUGUUUAUUAUCAAAUUUAAAUCUUCUGAUGUCAAGCAGCGAGUUAUAGAUAACGGACCUUGGUUGUUUGGAAAUCAUCUACUUAUCUUGAAACCUUGGAUAGCCAACACGCCUCUGUCUUGUUAUGACUUUAGUACCUGUGCGUUCUGGGUCCAAAUAGU
rnacentral:lncRNA from 1 species